rnacentral:rRNA from 1 species
UCCAGACUCCUACGGGAGGCAGCAGUGGGGAAUAUUGCACAAUGGGGGAAACCCUGAUGCAGCGACGCCGCGUGAGUGAAGAAGUAUUUCGGUAUGUAAAGCUCUAUCAGCAGGGAAGAAAAUGACGGUACCUGACUAAGAAGCCCCGGCUAACUACGUGCCAGCAGCCGCGGUAAUACGUAGGGGGCAAGCGUUAUCCGGAUUCACUGGGUGUAAAGGGAGCGUAGACGGCCAUGCAAGCCUGGAGUGAAAGCCCGGGGCCCAACCCCGGGACUGCUCUGGGAACUGUGCGGCUGGAGUGCGGGAGGGGCAGGCGGAAUUCCUGGUGUAGCGGUGAAAUGCGUAGAUAUCAGGAGGAACACCGGCGGCGAAGGCGGCCUGCUGGACCGCGACUGACGUCGAGGCUCGAAAGCGUGGGGAGCAAACAGGAUUAGAUACCCUAGUAA